rnacentral:misc_RNA from 1 species
GAACUGCGAUAAGUAAUGUGAAUUGCAGAAUUCAGUGAAUCAUCGAAUCUUUGAACGCACAUUGCGCCCGCCAGUAUUCUGGCGGGCAUGCCUGUCCGAGCGUCAUUUCAACCAUCAAGCCCCCGGGCUUGUGUUGGGGACCUGCGGCUGCCCGCAGGCCCUGAAAACCAGUGGCGGGCUCGCUGUCACACCGAGCGUAGUAGCAAUCACCUCGCUCAGGGCGUGCUGCGGGUUCCGGCCGUUAAACAGCCUUACAAAACCCAAGGUUGACCUCGGAUCAGGUAGGAAGACCCGCUGAACUUAAGC